rnacentral:piRNA from 1 species
UGGGCCAGCUUUACCUUGCAUUGCACCUAU